rnacentral:rRNA from 1 species
AUGGAGCCCGAGGAGGCGGAGGCCGUGCUGGAGACCAUCUGGGACCUCCACGACAAGGUCAGCGACGCCAUACACGCCCUCUCGCGCGCCCAUUUCCUGCGCACCGUGCGCCGCCGCGCCGGGGGCAAGCCCGCGGGCGUCGUCCACAUCAAGGGGGUCCCCGCGGACGGCGACGAGGCGGCCGACCUGAAUGCGGUGGCCGAGGAGGCCAGGAGCCUCCACGCUAUCCGCGCCGCGCUCGAGGACCUCGAGGACCAAUUCGAGUGCUUUCUCGCUGUUUGUUCACAGCAACAAGCAGAACGAGAUAUUGCAUUAGCAAGGCUGCAACAAAGUCACAUCAUGCUUACCAUAAGAUUAAAAGAGCACCAUGGGAAUAAUCACAAAGUCAUAGAUGAGGCGUUGGAUUUCGUCCACAAUGUCUACCAUGAUUUCUGGUCUUUUCUGUCAGUAAACAAGCCUGAGAAAUCAAGAACUCAUUCUGGCGCUAACAGUACCAAGGAGACGGGAGAUGGUUCAGAUUUCUUAGGGUGGAUGGUUUCUUCUAGUCUUGAUGUUGUCAGGAACAGUUUCAAUAUGAAAAAUAUUGGUGGUUUUCUAGGGAACAGUGCAGUGCUUGCUGUUGGCAUGAUUACAAUGUUGCAGCUGCAUUUGUCGUCUUCUGGAGAACAAAGUUCAUCUUGUGGUAAAUACAGCUACAGAAGGAUCAAUCGCGAUGAUUCUUCACGGUCUCUGGCAGGGCGUAGUAGGAUGAGUCAUCUUGAUGUGUUCUUAGCCAAAAGUUGA